rnacentral:rRNA from 1 species
UACAGAGGUCCCGAGCGUUAGGCGGAAUCACUGGGCUUAAAGCGUGUGUAGGCGGAUGCCUAAGUGCUUUGUGAAAUCCCACGGCUCAACCGUGGAAUUGCUUGGCAUACUGGGUGUCUUGAGCCACUUAGGGGCGAACGGAACAGACGGUGGAGCGGUGAAAUGCGUAGAUAUCGUCUGGAACGCCAAGGGUGAAAACAGUUCGCUGGGAGUGUGCUGACGCUGAGACACGAAAGCCAGGGGAGCAAACGGG